CGGGUGACCACCGCUUCCUGGGGUCCUUGCAGAGCAGUGAUCGGGAUCUCUGUGCUCGCAGUACUGCAAAAAUGUCUGGCAGAGACGGUGGCAAAAAGAAGCCUCUGAAACAACCCAAGAAACAGACAAAGGAAAUGGAUGAGGAGGACAUGGCAUUUAAACAGAAACAGAAGGAGGAGCAGAAACAGCUGGAGGCCAUGAAAGCCAAAGCUGCAGGGAAAGGACCGCUGGCAAGUGGUGGAAUCAAGAAGUCUGGAAAGAAGUGAAAUCUUAUUUCAAGAAGCGUCUCGUGACCCCCGUCUCAAUAUGCCUGAGAUGUGUUUAUUUUUCUGGGUCCAUUUUGGAAGACAUAUUUGAAUUACCUAGCUGUUAUUCUUUAAAAAUGAAAAUAAAGUGUUUUUUUUUUCUUUUUUGUAUAUAAAA
rnacentral:lncRNA from 1 species